UAUGGCAGAAAGAUACAAUUUUACACAAAUAAAUUUCAAAUGUAUGAGACAUAACAUAGUCGAGUUGGCCAUAAUGGUAUGCUCUACUUUCGACCCUUAAAUUGAAUUUCUAUUCUGGUAACUUCGAUGAACUUAAUGUACUUAUUCUAUCAAUUAUUAUAAAAAAAAUCAAAAUUUAUACAUAAAAGAAAAUUACUGUGGAAGAACAGAUUUUUUUUUUUAUAUGGAAUUGGUUUCCCCAUUGCUUGUCCUGUUAGGGAUCUUUUCUAGGAACCUUCAUUGCCUUUAGGCCCUUUACCCUAUCGUCUUAUCUGACGCGGACAGAAACAUCUUUGUCUGGAUUCUUCUGUUAGCGAGCAGGAGUCGGAGUUGUUGACCGAAACUACAAAGAGCAGGAGUUGGAGUAGGACGAGGGCUAGAGUGUCAGUAUCUGCCCAGAAGGUUAGGGGUGGUGGUGAAGGUGGCAAAACACAAAAAAAUUCAAACGCUUAGGUUCGAGAAAUCAACUAGCAAAAAAAGUCUGUGUGAUACUGCAGGUUUUAAGAUCAUUUAAGAUGAUAUUUGAUGCAGUUAAAAGAAAAAGAAGAUGAUAUUUGAUGAAAUUUUUAUCAUUUAUAGAAGUAAAGAUAAAAAUAUUUAAAAUACUUGCAAGAAAUAUAAGAUUAUUGAAUAAUUUGUAUUUAAAACGAAUUCUUAAUUGUCACUUAGUAGUCUAGUGGUAUUUAUCUUCACUUGUAAGUAAGAGGUCUUAGGUUCAAUUCUUGCCAAAGACGAAUUAAACUACAUUAUGUUGGAAAUUAUAUAUUAUAAUAUGAAAUAUUGUAAUAUAUUAUUUUAAUAAUUGAAUGAAAAAUAGUGUUAACCAUAUUUCUUAGAAAGGUUAUGUUAUUUAGGUGCAUUCCUUUGCUAAAUAAUGUAUACUUAUAGAUGAAAAGUUACAUUUCUUUAAUAAGUAGUAAUUGGAUUCUAUAUAAACCCAUG
rnacentral:lncRNA from 1 species